GACCUUGUGAUCUGCCUGUCUCAGCCUUCCAAAGUGCAGGAUUACAGGUGUGAGCCUCGGUGCCUGGCCUGUUUUUCAUCCUUUUAAUAUUGACUGUUACGUUUAUGCUUUACAUUGGAUAUACUUAGAACUCUUCAAGUACCAUAUAAGCACUAUCUUUCUAAUCGUCUACUGAUCAUGUCUUAAUAAUUGGUUUCAGAUUAUGCCAAAUACUCUUGGUCUUGCUUAACUUGAUAAUUCAGGGUAGAAUUUAAAAAGUUUCAGGAUUAGGAGUCAUCCUCCUAAAUCAGAGAGUAAUUAGUUGAAAUCACAAAAGCAUGAGGUACUGUACUGCUAGAGGAAAGCAAAAAAUAACAUGUGGAACCACAAAUGUUUUGUCUACAUAGGAAUUUUGCUCCACCACCACCACUUAACAGCUUUCCCCCCUCAAUGGGAGUACAUCUCAGUUUUUAAGGUAAUUUAUUAGAAUUGCUAUUAUAAAAAUUUAUUUCUUAGCAGACUUUGCUAGAACACAUUUAUCCUAAAUAAAAGGAGAUAGUUGACUUAGCAGAGAAAAAGACCCUAAAAGAAAACAUUUGUUUUAUUACAAGCACCCAGGAGGAUUUUUUAUAAACAUGAACGAUAACUUUCCUCUAACCUAAGUAAAUAUUUCAGGACAAAUGUACGUUAAGUGAUUAUAGUAAUGCGUGUGCAGAGACUGGCAGUACAGUUAGCAGCCUCAUAUACGACUUGCUAGUAUGCCACACUGCUUUGGCCUUUUUCUGAGUAACCCUCUCUCUGGAAGUCCUUGAAAUGCGUAACUUCGUCAGGGAGAUUCUUAGCCCCCGAAAAGACGUGUAUCUUUUUAGCUUAGUAUUCUGAGAUGUUCUCACAUCCAAAGUAAACAUUGUUAAGUGAUACGGACCAGUCCUAAAGUAAAUGAUAUAUUAAGUGCACAAUUCUUGUUCAAACUGAAAUUUGAAGUUGUUGUCAUUCUUUGCAUCCACACUACUGGAUUCUAUGCAGAUAGGGGGAUUUCUGCUUCUACAUUUUACUGUAAUGAUUUACAUUUACCUGUGUUGAGAGGAAAUUCUAUAUUGUAGCAAGUUAAAACACAUGAUUUUGGCAAAAAAGUAAAAACUGUUAAGAUCUUGGAGCCCACAUUUAUUUGUUGUGGAAAUUUGGAGCUAGGAAGGAUGGGAUGCUCCCUUCUCUGUCUCUGUGUUCUGUUUAUUGUGAGGUGUAUAUUGAUAAUGCAUUUGUGAAGAAAGGCAUUCUUUAAUGACUUAGCAGAGAAAAAAGUGAUAGUAAUUUUAUCCAUGUGUCUCCAGGUGACUGGUACUGUGUUUUGCUUUCUGCUCUUUUCAUUUCUCCAGAGCCACUCGUAAAAUCUUUCUGCAGUUAAUGGUUCAUUAUAGUCCAAUUUUCAUUGCUUUCUAAGAUUUGAACUUUGAAUCUGAAUGUCAGCCCCCGUCUAAAAGCAGUCAUCUUUCAGUUCUGAAGCUCCUCUGAUAUCUUUCAGACCCUUCAAGGAGCACUAGGUUUGAGGAUGAUAACAUUUGCUCGUUGUCAUUGGACCUGAAGGUGCAUAGAAAGAAAUGCUAUGUUGGAUCUCAGUAUACUAAUAACAGUCCUGCAGGCUGCAUUUGCAGUUUCCUUUCUGCAUGAAAUCUUGUUAGUGUCCUCCUGCAUUUCUGGCUUUCUCCCAUUCUGGUUGCUUCUUCCCCUUCCUGCUCCCUUAAGAAAAAAAAAAAAAAUGGUUAGCCAGUUCGGUGAAGUUUUCUCAGAAAUUUUUUGUGGACAGUGCUAACUUAAGCAAGAAAACAGUUUGUGACACUUGACUUUUCAAGGAGGAGAUAAGGUUUUGUGUACCCAGACUGUAUAUAUCAAUUAUUACGGGGCUAAACUUUGAAAGUAUGAUUAAUUCCCCUGCAAGUAUUUACCAAACCUUGUCAGAUUUUAAUCCUAUUUCUUGAAUUACUUUGAAAAAAGGUCACAUACUACAUACACAUUAUUUGCAUUAUGAGGAUUGCCCAUACUAAUAAGAGAUUUCUGUUCGUUCCAGUUAAAUCUUACUCCUGGUUUUGCAAGUGUAUUCAGGCCUGGCAUGGUUGGCAGUGACUCAGCUGGGGUGGGCAGGGCAGUCUCCUGCCUGCCCCACCUGUGUUUCGCUGCCUGUUUCCCUGUGACCUAGGCUGAGCAAUACAAAUAUCAUUGACAACACUGACAGUGCUUUUUUUGAUCUGCGCCUGCCCUGGCUGAUUCCAUUUUGUGGCCCUUUGAUUUAAGAUGCAGUUAGAACCAGUGGCUCCUCACUGUAUUCAGUCAUUCAUUCUAAUAUUUAUCAAGCAUUUACUGUUGUGCCAGGUACUGAAGAUAAAGCAGUAAAAAAGGCCCUGUCUCUGCACUCAGUGAGGUUUUAUUCAUAUAGAAACAAAUGUACAAAGUAAUUUCAGAAAACGGUACCAAGAAAUUAAAAUAGAGUAAAAUGGCUUAGUGAGUGACUGGGCAGGUUGGGACAUUGGUUGGCACCACGUUGGGGAAAUGACCCUGAAUGGUGAUGAGGACCUGACCAUGAGAAGGGCAUUUUGGGCUGAAGGACACCAAAUGCUAAGGUGCUGAGUGGGGCAGGCCAGUGUGGCUGGACAUAGUGGAUGAGGAUCAGAGUGGUAGAAAAUGAGGUAGGUGGGGGUCAGAUUUUAUUCCAAUUUCAGCAGAAAGCCGCCAGACAGCCUUAAAUGGAGGAGUAAUAUACCACCACCGUUGGCCUGUAUUUGGAGAAUGUCUGACAUAAAAUUUCCUACCAGUGAAAAGAGAGAAGGCGGAUGCAGUGGGGCAUGUCUGUAGUCCCAGCUAUUUAGGAGACUGAGGCUGGAGGAUCACUCAAGGCUGGGAGUGUGAAGCUGUGGUGUGUACUGUGAUUGCACCUGUGAGCAGCCGCUACACUCCACCCUGAGCAACAUAGUGACAUCCUCAUUUUAAAAAAUCAGGAUUCAGUGUUUUGGAAAAAUUAUGUUAAAAAAUGGAGGUUAUUCAGAUAAAAUUACAGAGGUUAUUCUGUAAAACUUUUUUGGCAUUAUAAGCAGUUUUACUGACUUUUAUGUAAUAGUUCUAUUAUAUCUAGACAUCUGUGUAUCAAACACACCUGAAGAUAUGUUACCCCAAAUUGGCAUCUCAACCAGUGAAAGGAAGUAUAGCCCACUCACCUGGUCUUGACGUAAUGGUUGGAUGACGUAUGGGUGUUUGUAAUGCAUAGGUAGCAUUUAAAGCUGACAGAAACAGCUUUUUCGUUGUCCUUGUAGUGUGCUUGCCUUGGUUCCGGGCUGUCCACCUGAAGUGAAGACAGCCUGAGUCUGGCCAUGGGGAAGCAUCAAGAGUUUGGCUUCUCCUUCUUCAGAGCAGCAACAGCAAAUGACACAGCAGCGAAGCUAGGAGAGUUGGGCAGCUUGGAAACGGGGAACCUCAGCAGUCUGGGAGGCGGCGUGCCAGAACUCCUCCCAGCCCUCGCUUGCUUAUCUGUCAUAUCUAAAAGACGUACCUCUACAGUGUGAAACCCCAAAUCUGUGAUAUGACUGGAGGGAGAAUGCUUUCCAGUUGACUUGAUUAGGUAGACGCUCGCUUUUGUGGAGUUGUAAUUUUUUCAUAGUUUUUUGUUAUGACAGCUGGAAUAUUUGUCGUAAAGGGGAGGUGUAAACAUGUAAUAAGGCUAAUGAAGAGAUUGGAGUAGCAAUGUAAUCAUUCUUAGACGUAUUUGAAACUUUAGGUACUAAAUCUCUUUUUGAUAUAUAUGCUAUAAAAAUGACUUAUAAAAUGAAAUGUAAUUCUAGCGUAUCUUAAACUGUUGCCAGGAGGUUUUUGGUGACACUGAUAAGAAAUUAUAUCGUUUCUUGCAGAAGGGUCAUUUGUCUUGGUAAAGGACCAGUUUCUCAUGACUCCCUGCCCCACUUCCCCCAGCUGAUAAACAGCUAAGAAAAGCAGUCUUAGGACAUUUCUUUUCACUUACCCAUUAUAAAAACUUACAAUUUUUAAAGGGACAAAAUUUCAAUGCAGAUGUAACGUGGCUAUUUGCUCAAAGGGAAACACCACCAAAUAAUAAUAAU